AACGAACGCUGGCGGCGUGCUUAACACAUGCAAGUCGAACGCGAACGCUCCUUCGGGAGUUAUUAGAGUGGCGCACGGGUGAGUAACACGUGGGUGACCUACCCUUUGGCUUGGGAUAACUCGGGGAAACUCGAGCUAAUACCGAAUAAGACCACAACUCUUGGGUGGUGGUAAAAGCGGGGGAACUCUUCGGAGUCCUCGCACCGAAGGAUGGGCCCGCGGUCCAUCAGCUUGUUGGUGGGGUAAAGGCCUACCAAGGCAAAGACGGAUAGCUGGUCUGAGAGGAUGAUCAGCCACACUGGAACUGAGACACGGUCCAGACUCCUACGGGAGGCAGCAGUGGGGAAUAUUGCGCAAUGGGCGAAAGCCUGACGCAGCAACGCCGUGUGAGGGACGAAGGCCCUCGGGUCGUAAACCUCUGUCAGUGGGAAAGAUGGGUUUUUGGGUUAAUACCCUAGAAAUUUGACGGUACCCACAAAGGAAGCACCGGCUAACUUCGUGCCAGCCGCCGCCGUAACAC
rnacentral:rRNA from 1 species